rnacentral:rRNA from 1 species
UAACAGUUGGAAACGACUGCUAAGACUGGAUAGGAAGUUUUAAGGCAUCUUGAAACUUUUAAAAGACCCGCAAGGGUAUGCUAAGAGAUGGGCUUGCGGCACAUUAGUUAGUUGGUAAGGUAACGGCUUACCAAGACUAUGAUGUGUAGCUGGACUGAGAGGUUGAACGGCCACAUUGGGAUUGAGAUACGGCCCAAACUCCUACGGGAGGCAGCAGUAAGGAAUUUUCGGCAAUGGAGGAAACUCUGACCGAGCAACGCCGCGUGAACGAUGAAAUAUUUAGGUAUGUAAAGUUCUUUUAUUAAAGAAGAAAAAAUGAUGGAAAAUUCAUUCUGACGGUAUUUAAUGAAUAAGCCCCGGCUAACUAUGUGCCACCAGCUGCGGUUAUACAUGGGGGGCAAGCGUUAUCCGGAUUUAUUGGGCGUAAAGGGUGUGUAGGCGGUUUAAUAAGUCUAUGGUAUAAGUUCAACGCUUAACGUUGUGAUGCUAUGGAAACUGUUUGACUAGAGUUGGAUAGAGGCAAGUGGAAUUCCAUGUGUAGCGGUAAAAUGCGUAAAUAUAUGGAGGAACACCAGUAGCGAAGGCGGCUUGCUGGGUCUUAACUGACGCUGAGGCACGAAAGCGUGGGGAGCAAACAGGAUUAGAUACCCUGGUAGUCCACGCCGUAAACGAUGAGUACUAAGUGUUGGGUUAAACCAGUGCUGAAGUUAACACAUUAAGUACUCCGCCUGAGUAGUACGUACGCAAGUAUGAAACUUAAAGGAAUUGACGGGACUCCGCACAAGCGGUGGAUCAUGUUGUUUAAUUCGAAGAUACACGAAAAACCUUACCAGGUCUUGACAUACUCUGCAAAGCUAUAGAAAUAUAGUGGAGGUUAUCAGGGAUACAGGUGGUGCAUGGUUGUCGUCAGCUCGUGUCGUGAGAUGUUGGGUUAAGUCCCGCAACGAGCGCAACCC